UGACAUAUAACACAAUGGUUAGUGUAUAUUAUUACGGAUAUUAGUAUGUAAGUUCGAUUCUUACUAUGUCAU
rnacentral:tRNA from 3 species